rnacentral:rRNA from 1 species
GACGAACGCUGGCGGCGUGCCUAAUACAUGCAAGUAGAACGCUGAAGGAGGAGCUUGCUUCUCUGGAUGAGUUGCAAACGGGUGAGUAACGCGUAGGUAACCUGCCUGGUAGCGGGGGAUAACUAUUGGAAACGAUAGCUAAUACCGCAUAAGAGUAGAUGUCGCAUGACAUUUGCUUAAAAGGUGCAAUUGCAUCACUACCAGAUGGACCUGCGUUGUAUUAGCUAGUUGGUGAGGUAACGGCUCACCAAGGCAACGAUACAUAGCCGACCUGAGAGGGUGAUCGGCCACACUGGGACUGAGACACGGCCCAGACUCCUACGGGAGGCAGCAGUAGGGAAUCUUCGGCAAUGGACGGAAGUCUGACCGAGCAACGCCGCGUGAGUGAAGAAGGUUUUCGGAUCGUAAAGCUCUGUUGUAAGAGAAGAACGAGUGUGAGAGUGGAAAGUUCACACUGUGACGGUAUCUUACCAGAAAGGGACGGCUAACUACGUG